CAGAGCGCGUAGGCCUCAAGGGUGUGAUGGGAAGUGUCUGCCUUCCAAGGAGUGACCAUAAAGAGGCAUUUUCUGAACCUAUUCUUAGCGCUCUUAUCUCCUCAGAUGUAGGAGGCAGACCAAGCAGGGCAAGGAAAUCAGAGUAGACACUGAAGAGAAGAAACCAAGGGGCCUGAAAUCCCAAGUGACUGAGCUGCUAUUUCGAAGGGAUGUUUAAAGGCUCCCUUUCAACAUCACUGAUAAGAGAUCAUCAUUUCUGAAGUGGUUCCAUGCUGUACUGGUGUCUCUUUGGAGAUCCACCUUUGCAACAACAGAAUGGCACAAAAUCAGCCGUGCCACGGAAAGAACCAGCAAUUUUCCUGCACUCUACAGUGUAACCAAGAAUGUGGGAAAUAAAGUGCUGAUAUAUUGACUCAUUUAAGUUUCACCACAACUCUCCGGUAGGUACUCUUACUAUAUCUAUUUCACAGAUGAGGAAACAGAGGCACAGAAAGCAAACAACUUGCUCUAAGUGACCUGCUUUGAACCCACAUAGCUCUGAAAACAUUCUGCCACGUAUUUAUACUGCUGCACUUAACGCGCUAUUUUGCAGUUUGUUUCCAAGUCCUCUUCAAUACUGUGAGCUUCUGAAAGCAAGGACCUGUUCAUCUUUGUUCAGUUCUGUAUCCCCAUUACAUGGCAGUCCAAGCUGAUGGACCUCUUUUGUGCUUACCAGGCCAUGACAGAGACCCUCAACUGUGACCAGCCAAGUCCCAACUUUCUAAAUAAGCCUGGAACUGAACAUUCACUGGGUGGCCUAGGAUGUAAGCAAAUGAAGUACAUUGGCCAUCUGCAAUCAUCCCUGGGAAAUACCUCAUCUGAAUCUAGAGCCAAAAAAAAAAAAAAAAAAGGAACGUCACUCCACAAGAAACUCCAGAACCUCAACAAAAAUUGGAAACUAAAUCUUUAAAGGCAAAACAACUCAGACAGAAUCCAGAAUUAACUCUUUUUGAUUCAGAAAAGAUAACUCUUGAGAUUUUGCGGCCCAUUAGUGCAAGGUCAAACACAAAAGAGUUAUACGUCAAUUACACCCCAAUAGUAUUAAUAACAAUAAUACAAACAACAAAAAACCAAAUGGAAGAUUCUGGGCCAGUGAAUUACAGCUGUGGGCAAUCAACAGCAUAGCACCCAUAAAAGCACAGUUAAUACACAGACUAGUAACUAAGAGCCUACGCUGCCCAGUGCUACCUGAAAUUUGAAUGUGGCUCUGCCCCAGUCUACUGUAUGACCUUGGUUAGGUUCUUCAACCUCUCGGUGCCUGACAUUCCACAUCCAUAAAACAAGGCUUAAAAAGAGAACCCAUGUUUUAGGGUUGUUGGGAGGAUUAAAUGAGUGAUGAACCAAAUGCUUAUAGCACAGUGCCCGGCACACAGGAAGGGCGCAAUAAACAAAACCUUUUACCUUCCUGCUUCUUCAAUAACAUAGGCAGAGAACGACUGGCAUGGAAGGCACAUUAUUACAGCCAUCACCUUUGCUCCUGGUGCCUGGCACACAGUCGGCAUUUAGUGGGUUUUCACUGAAUGAAUGAAUGGCCCAAGUGCUUCCCAGGCUUUUGUUCAAGGAGGGAAACUAGAAUGGCAAUCAGAAAUAAGGCUUAAAUGUCACGAGGACUAGCCCAGUAAACCCAUCAAUUUAGCAUUCUAUUAACAAGAUCGACGUGUUACAGACAUCCACCGUAUGUGUUCAUAAUAACGAUCCUUAGACAUUGUAUAAAUCCUCUUGUGUUUUAGGAAUUUUCAAUGGUUAAAUUACAUUCAAAGCAGUUUUAAAAUUAAGUAUAUAUUACUGCAUUCAAACGCUUUAAAAAUUGGAAAUCCAUGUAGAGCAAAAAUGGCAACAAUGAAUUAACUGGAAUAUUCUGAUUGAUUGCAACACUUAGUUCACACUUCUCUACCCACACGCUGUUGUAUCCGUCUACAUUCUCUAUUUCUCACUAGACUGUGAACGCCUCUUAUGUCUAGCACUUUAGUAUCCACUGUGCCGGGGAUAUAAUCAUGGUCAGGACAUACUUGCCAAUAACAGCCACUGUGCUCCAUGAGCACACCACAGUAAAACGUUUAGCCUGGGAACAUAUUCCUUUGGUGUACCUACAUCUCCAUAAAACAAUCAAAACCUCAUGUGUUUAAGAUUUUUAAAUAUAAAUUUCAACAUUUAAAAAUACAGUACAUUCUAAAUCAUUUCUUUAAAACUCUAAAAUUUAAAUGAUGUGACAGAAUCUAUGUCCCUUUUAAUUUAGAUUUCCAACAAAGUCCAAUAAAAACUGUUAGUUUUCUUAUAAUAAACUAUUAAAGGCUCAUACUGCUGUCUGGAAGACUGACAUCAUACUAUUGUACUGUGAAUGGUGACACUUGCUCAAAGACAAGGAAGUAGGAAGAAGAAAAGAUGGGAGUACGUGAAGAAAAGGAAGAUUAAAAAGCAAUCUCUGAUUCCUCCUCUUACACAUUAUGAAAAUAUUAGGCCCAGGAGUCUGCUCUGUACUCCUGUCAGAAAGAAAACUAAGUCAAAAAGACCAGCUCAUCAUCUCCUGGACUCUUACGCCAAUGCCAGGGAAAAUGGCCGGUGUGCUGGGGCGAAAGGUGGGUGCACGGCAGGUGGAGUCUGAACAUAAGGUGGUGCCCCUUCAGUCAGUGCCCCAGCCUCCUGUCACAUUCCAUGGCGGCUCUUAACUCCUACUGUCUAAGAGAGUCCACUCCAAAGCUGUGCCCCCUACCUGAGUACUAGAAGUGCAGCAGGGAAUAAAAUCUUAGCAAGAGGAUCUUGACUUUAAAGGAGAGAGUUCAGGGGCGCCUGGGUGGCUCAGUCGGUUGAGUGUCCGGCUUCGGGCUCAGGUCAUGAUCUCGCGGUUCGUGAGUUCGAGCCCCGCGUCGGGCUCUGUUCUGACAGCUCAGAGCCUGGAGCCUGCUUUGGAAUCUGUGUCCCCCUCUCUCUCCGCCCCACCCCUGCUUGUGCUCUCUGUCUUUCAAAAAUGAAUAAACAUAAAAAAAAAAAAAAUUUAAAGGAGAGAGUUCAAGCAUGCCUUGGUUGGCUCAAUUGUUAAGCAUCAGACUCUUGAUUUCAGCUCAGGUCAUGAUCUCAUGGUUUGUGAGUUCGAGCCCCACAUCAGGCUCUGUACUGAUGGCACACAGCCUGCUUGGGAUUCUGUCCCUCCUUCUCUCUGCACUCUCUCUCAAGAUAAAUAAAUUAAAGGGGCACCUGGGCGGCUCAGUCGGUUAAGCGUCCAACUUCGGCUCAGGUCAUGAUCUCUCACACUCUGUGAGUUCGAGCUGCUGACAGCUCAGAGCCUGGAGCCCGCUUCAGAUUCUGUGUCUUCCCCUCUCUCUGCCCCUCUCCUCCUCAUGCUCUGUGUCUGUCUCAAAAAUAAAUAAAAAUAUUUUUUAAAAACUUAAAAAAAACUAAAUUUAAAAAAAUAUUUAAAGGAGGGAGUUCAGUUUUCAUCCCAUCAGUAGGGAGGUUGCGUGUUUCUAUUAAAGUGGAGAUGCCAAAGACAAACUCUCAAUCUCUCACACAGCUUUUUCUGGGGUCUGUACCAUUGUCCUGCAGGGAAGAUUGUGUGUGGGGGGAAGGUUU